rnacentral:ncRNA from 1 species
UUUCCCUCAGGAUAGCUGGCGCUCUUGCACACCCACCCUGACGCGAUGCAGUUUUAUCUGGUAAAGCAAAUGAUUAGAGGUCUUGGGGCCAAAACAAUCUCAACCUAUUCUCAAACUUUAAAUGGGUAAGAAGGCCGGCUCGCUGGUGUGGAGCCGGGUGUGGAAUGCGAGUGCCU